GUUCCCAGUUCCUGGCUCCCGAAAGCAGUGCUUCAAGGAAGACCAUUGUGCUUUUACCGAUUCCCAGAAAUGGCAUCGGGGCAUAUGUAUUUUUAAUUGUAAUAGAUAUUGCCAGAUCGCCUGACGAAGGCAUUUGGAGAACACCCUAAAAACCAGUUAUCUGGUGAAAGAAACAAGUUACACCUGGCUUCUGAAUUUCAAGAUCACCUUAUCCAGUGGUAAGGAAAGAAAGAUGUUUCUUUUACAAUUCUUGAUGGGCUCACCAGGUCUUCAGUGGGCAGACACUAUUUCUGAUGAGCGGUGACGAUUCUGCAAGCAGAGACCGUCUUCUAAUUUUAAAAACGAGGAAAAUAUAAAGAAUGAAUGUUUUGAUGUCUAGUUGGUUCCAGACCGGAGAAUGCGUCGUCUCCUCCCACUUUGUUUCUGCCUGAGGGAACAAGAGGAGGCGGUCUGUUUGGAGCUGGGAUGCUUGCCCAUUGCAUCAACUUACCUCCUGCAACUAUUUGUGAAGUCCUGCCAAGUCAGAGAGGCUUCUAAGAGACUUAAAAGGUGGUUUCUUAACCUUGAUCUGAAUAGCAGCUGGGCAAAAAGAGCCGAUGUUGGUUGUGGGUAUGGUAACCAUUUUGUUCUCUGCCAGAUUUUGUUUCUGUUGUUGUAAUAGAGAAGAAGAAAAUUAGCCAUCCACUUGUUUCAGUGAUUUCAGAAGGCUGCAUGGGAACUGACUGCAUGGGAAAGGUUAGGAGUUUCAAGACUUUUUUUUAUUUUAAAAUAUCAUUUUUUUCCCUGAAAAACAUGGUCAAUUGAUGGCAUUAUGAUUGUGCUCCUUACUAUAAAGAAUCA